UUCUUUUUUGUUUGAAAGGAGAUAUCUUAAUUUCCUUAUCAUGGUACCAAACUAGGGAUAUCUCCUUUCCAACAAAAAAAGAAUUAUCAAAAUCGGUACAUCCAAUAAAAAGUUAUUGCGGAUUUUCAAGAGUUUCCCUCGAUUUCUCUGGGAUCCCAUCAUCAGAUCCUGGUUUCCUUAUCAUGGUACUAAACUAGGGAUAUCCCCUUUUCAACGAAAAAAGAAUUAUCAAAAUCGGUAUAUCCAGUAGAAAGUUACGCGGUAUAAUACAACGUAGGUCGACGAAAAAAGCGUCAAGUAAAAACACAUUAUUAGAUAUAACUCGAAAAGUAGUUGUUAGAUCUCAAAUAAAUUUAAAUGGGACCAAUUGGCACACACCACCUUUUGAUUAAAACAAAAUUUGUCGAAAUCGGUCCACACGGGCAAAAGUUCUGAUGUAACAUACAUAAAA
rnacentral:misc_RNA from 1 species